GACGAACGCUGGCGGCGUGCCUAAUACAUGCAAGUAGAACGCACAGUUUAUACCGUAGCUUGCUACACCAUAGACUGUGAGUUGCGAACGGGUGAGUAACGCGUAGGUAACCUGCCUGGUAGCGGGGGAUAACUAUUGGAAACGAUAGCUAAUACCGCAUAAUAUUAAUUAUUGCAUGAUAAUUAAUUGAAAGGGGAAAUGGUACAACUACAGAAGGGACUGCGUUGGUUUUACUUGUAGGGGAGGUAACGGCUCACCUAGGCGACGAUACCUAGCCGACCUGAGAGGGUGAUCGGCCACACUGGGACUGAGACACGGCCCAGACUCCUACGGGAGGCAGCAGUAGGGAAUCUUCGGCAAUGGACGAAAGUCUGACCGAGCAACGCCGCGUGAGUGAAGAAGGUUUUCGGAUCGUAAAGCUCUGUUGUAAGAGAAGAACGGGUGUGAGAGUGGAAAGUUCACACUGUGACGGUAUCUUACCAGAAAGAGACGGCUAACUACGUG
rnacentral:rRNA from 1 species